UGUAUCCAGGCUGGCAUUGCCAGCGAAGCUGUUUGCCAGUCGUGGAGAGCAAAUCCUUGCAAAUCAACCGUGAGGUGCCUGAGGGAGAAUCAAGGCCCAGGGAGGUUGACUUGCCGAAGACUUGGGGGAUCGUCUUCAGUCUGCCCUGAGCCUGUGGGUCCAGUGGAGUCCGAAGUGCUGGGUCAACCUGCCAGUUUCGGCCGGGGCUUUCCUUCGGAUGGGGUACCUGCUGCCAGGAGUCGAGGAGCACAAAGGCUACACUGUCCGGAACAAGACACGCGCUGGAAAGCACUGGAUGGAGUGAACCCGACCUUCUGCUUUGAGGGCCUCUCCGCACUUUCUAUGCCUCUGCCUUGGACCCUUGAAAAGGGAUGUGUGACUCUGACCGAAGGGACAUCAGUUCCUGCUCCUCUACAUCGACAAGUUCUCAACGUUAGCCUCUGUCAGGAUUACGGAGGGCCGGCCGAGACGCAGGCUGCCAGGCUCCGCCCAGGAAAUCAGAUGAGGAAAACCUCUUGUUGACAAACCUAUCCCUCUGUCUGAGGCACUCACAGCCUAAAGGAGAGACCCAGCCAUGGGACUAUGGCCCCUCUGGACCACGCAAGCCGCCAGGAAGGAAUGGAAGAGGUGAUGGCUUUCCUCACGUUUUCAGAUGCUUUUGGCAGAAGCGAACAGAAUGAAGAUGUAUGGUGACGGGAAACAUAGACGGCAGUCCAGAACAACAAUUGUGUCAGCUCUGGAUGUCCCUGCAGAGCUCGGCACGGGGUGGUGUGAGUGUGGGAACGCGAGGCUGGGGGCCGUGUGCGUGUUCACCUGUCCUCUGCUCAGGGCCCCUCCCCCGACACCAGCUUCUCUGUGCUAGUAAGCCCCAGAGGAGAGCCCACUGUCAGUGCAGAGGACUGAGGGGCCCUCACACAAAGGAGCACCUGGUCUGGGAGGCCUCGGCUGCCCGGAACUGCAGGGCCAGGGCCAAGGCCAGGAGGGGAAGAGAGGGGAGGUGUGGCGCCCACAGCUCACCUCCAGGAGGGACUGCAGAGGAAUGCUCCUUCUGUCCCAGAUGGAGGCAGGCAGUGACAGAGGCUCCAGAGGAAGAUCUUUUCCCACAUCAGGUCCUCUGGUGGGUCCACCAGUCAUGUGUGACUGCCCUGGCCCACAGGAAGCCCUGGGGCACAGUGCCUGUCUGCCUGUAAGCAAGGCCUUCUGGGUACAGCGACUAAGCUCUGCUUGAGCAGAUAUGACAGGAAUUCCGCCCGGACUAGCUCUGUCCCUGGCACUUGGGGUGUGGGACCCUCAGUGAUGGCACUGUUCAGGGAAGCAGAAUUACAAGGCCUGCCCAAGAUAAACAGCAAAAUCCACUCUCUGUCCUCCUCAUGGGUUUGGAAGAGAAGUGCUUUGAGAAGAGCAGCUUUCUAUACACACACGGAAUAGUGCUGAGGACUGUGACUCAGGCUCUCCCAGGAGGGCGAUGCAGCCUGCGGUGUCACGGGACGUCAGUGUGCUGGGACCUGUGUUGCCACCGCACAGCCCGCCUUCCUCGGGAACUGGGAGGGACUGAUGGCAGAGACCCUGGAAGGCUCCCGAUCUGCAUGGGAAGCCCCGGGGAUGAUACAGAGUCCGGGGCUGCGGCAGCUCUGAAGGCCAGUUUCCCUUUGCUCCCGUGCCCCAUCCAGAUGGCGAGCCUUCCAGAGGCCUGCUGCUCAGACCCUUGGCAGGGAGGACCGUGGAGAUGUGGCAGGCAGUGAGACACAGCCUCAGAGGCAGCCCUCAUAGCUUCAUCGUGGCAGAGUUCUCAAAGCAUGCUCCCUUUGGAGAGCUCCUUUAAUUUCCGAGCAGUCCUGAGAGGCUGCGUGGGGGGGACGGUCACAUCUAUUUUACAGAGUAGGGGGCUGGAUUCAGACGGGGGGUUAAUUUGCAUGCCAUCACGCAGCUGGUUAGCCAGGCCCGAGCCCAGGGCUGCCCUGACAGGCAGGACCUGAUGGGCUGUGUGCUGGCAUCUGGGGGUGCACCACCCGGGAGCGGGGGUGGUUGGGGGUUGUGGCUGAAUCCUACCUGCCUCAGCAGCGGCUCAAGGACUACACCCUUCCAGCGCGGGCCCUCUGGGUUGUGUGUCUGUCUUAGGGGCAGUUGUGCUGCUCCCCACAGCCUCCGUGAGUCUCCCUGGGGAGAUUUCAGGGCUGGGAGGUGGGGGAGGCCCAGCCCUAUUUCACUCUCACGUAUCUGCCCACUCAGAUCCACCCCAUCAGCAGGGCAGUGAGACACGGGGAGAGCAGGCAGGUUUGGGGGAGGUGGACGAUGCUUGGGAAUACAAAGAUAAGGGGCAGAGGGCGGUGCCCAGAGGAUGCUGGGGUUCGGGGACAGAACUGUAACACAGCUAUAUGGGCUGGGUCUGGGAGGGGCUCUCCCACUCAGUAUCCCUGCAUUCACGCCUCCCCACCCACCUAAGGUCUUAGUGUCCUUCAAGGGUCACCUUCUGUGAUGACAUCUGCUGUCACGGCUCAAGUCUGAUUAUCUCCUCAGGCUUCCUGUCUCCCUACAUCUCUUCAACUGUCCCUCACAAUUACUUAAUGUCUAUGUUCUUCCCGAUUUCGAGCUUCCGGUCUCCUCAACAAAGGCACGUGCUUGAAAGUAGCCUUAGCCGACCAUGGGCACAGUCGGAGCUCCCUGCAAGCAUGGGCCACAUACGCAGGGGGACAGGCCGUGGGCCCUUACCUGC